GGGCCGUUAGCUCAAUCGGCAGAGCAACUGACUCUUAAUCAGUAGGCUUGGGGUUCGAUCCCCCGACGGCCCA
rnacentral:tRNA from 1 species